rnacentral:lncRNA from 1 species
AUACAUAUAAUAUAAGGUUACUACAUGUCUAAAUCUAGAAAAUUAUGCAAGAAUAUAUGCAAUCCAUAUAGUCUAUAUUAUAGAAAUAAAAGUUCAACUAAUCCUUUACUAGUAGUAAAGGGUUAGUUGAACAAUUAUUUCUAUAAUAUAGACUAAAUGGAUUAUUUAUAGUCUUGUUUAACUUUAUAUUUUAGACAUAUGACAUCUAGUAACAUACCAUAUUAGUUUAAAUCAGUUGUAAAAUUAAAAAUGUUAACAUCUUUGAUAGGUAUAUUUAUUUAGGUUAGUUACAGCUAAGUUUACAUGGCUAGUUAAUAUGCUUUUAUAAAUUGCAAUUUUUAUUAAUUUCCAAAUUAAACAUGUGGCAUCCAAUAUCAUAAACUAAGAUUAUACUGAAUUUACUGUUUUAGACACGUGGCAUGUGGUAUCCCACUACACUUGGUAUAAGCUGUCAUACUACACGUGGCAUGUGAUAUCCCACUAAUUAGCUAUUUUAAACAUGUGACAAGUGGUAUGACACUGUAUUGAUGUAUGUGAAAUGUAUAGAGUCUUUCAGUUAUCAGAUAAUGCCAAGGAGUUGAGAGCAUGGUGUCCAAUUAAAGUGCGAACCUGUGUACGAGUAACAACAAUAUUUAAAACCAAAACCUAUUUAAACCAACCAAACCAAAACUAGUAACUAAAAACUAUCUUAGCAUUGGUUUAUUUUAAACAUCUAAUAUAUAUAUAUAUGUGUGUUUUUUUAUAUAAAUGUACUAGCUUGAGUAUAGUGUGUUAAAAAAAUGU